rnacentral:rRNA from 1 species
UCCUUAACAGUUUAUUUUAUGUCCGUCUUUCGCCUACCAAAAUCGAUCAUAGCCAAACUAGACGCCAUCCGGAGGGCGUUCUUCUGGUCUAACGAGCCAACCUGCACUGGGGCGAGCUGCUUGGUCGCGUGGAAAAACGUUUGCAAACCUAAAGAUACUGGUGGUCUAGGCAUUAAAAAUCUAGAAGUUCAAAACCGCUGCUUGCUUAUGAAAUUCUCCUCCAAAAUUCUACAACACCCAAACAUCCCCUGGACCCAAUGGUACCACCACCAAUACCCUCUUGGCAUUGCAGCAAAAACCUCAAAACCCUCCUUCCUUUGGAAGAUCAUCAACAACAACUUGCCACUGCUAAUUGAGCACUCAUUUGUGCUCACAUACAAUGGCCUAUCCACUUUCUUUUGGCUUGAUAAAUGGUUACUGCAGUCUCCCCUCCAAAACGUCUUCCCAAACCUCUUCUUACACUCCAUCGAU